rnacentral:rRNA from 1 species
GAUGAACGCUGGCGGCGUGCCUAAUACAUGCAAGUCGAGCGAACAGACGAGAGUGCUUGCACUCUCUGACGUUAGCGGCGGACGGGUGAGUAACACGUGGGUAACCUACCUAUAAGACUGGGAUAACUUCGGGAAACCGGAGCUAAUACCGGAUAAUAUUUAGCUUCGCAUGAAGCAAUAGUGAAAGACGGUUCUGCUGUCACUUAUAGAUGGACCCGCGGUGUAUUAGCUAGUUGGUGAGGUAACGGCUCACCAAGGCAACGAUACAUAGCCGACCUGAGAGGGUGAUCGGCCACACUGGGACUGAGACACGGCCCAGACUCCUACGGGAGGCGGCAGUAGGGAAUCUUCCGCAAUGGACGAAAGUCUGACGGAGCAAUGCCGCGUGAGUGAAGAAGGUUUUCGGAUCGUAAAACUCUGUUGUAAGGGAAGAACAAGUACGUUAGUAACUGAACGUACCUUGACGGUACCUUACCAGAAAGCCACGGCUAACUACGUG